CCCCCAACCCCAACCCCCAUACUGUUUUGAUCGUCUUCUUCAUUGAUAUAAAAAACAAUGAAAAAAAACAUAGAGCUCUUAUGGAGCUUCAGCCGCAACAUUGCAAAUAGGAGACCCCUCUCUAAAUUUCAUCUCCUUGGUCAUCCCCCCAAGCACGCCUGAACAUUGAAAAUCGCAGACCCUUAAAUCAUCUCCGCCAGUUUUUUUUUCAAGAGUUUCGUUUCAAGUUUUAUAUUUCUUCUUUUGGUUUCUGAUUUCAGAAUAAUGGAAUUAAUCGAGGUUUGGAGCUAAUUCUGAGGUUGGGUCGUUAGAGGUUGCCGUUGAAGGUUUACGUCCGAAAGUCCGACUCAAUUUGUGAUGAUUCGAUUUGAAGCUACGUCGAUGUCCGGAUGUAAUUGUUGCUUCAUUCAAUCUGUAUAAACUUCAGAUUCAUCUUUGCUCCGUUGGUUUCUCUCUUCCAGAUAUAAUCAGUUUAUGUGAAUGUUCAAUGUAAUCUUUGUUUCAGCAAGUUUGAAUGUAUUAUUAAUUAGUUGCUUUGCUCCUGUUUUUGAUUUGCCUUUUACCUUGUGGUGUCAUUGUUGGGAGGAUUAGAUGCCCGUGAAAUGCAACAAAUGUCCGAUUUCAUUCUGUGUUACUAGAUAUUGCUAUCAUUUUUGCCUCCUAUUAAUUGGGAAUUAAAGUGUUUGGGUGUUUAAUUGUUGGGUGUUAAAGGGUUGUAACACAUAGCUUCAGAUCCGGAUAAUCGUGUUUUCAAAUUUUUGUAUACUCUGUUUUGCUUAAUAGUGUGCUUCCAUUAAUCUGUCAUUCUCUGUUUUGUGAUGUGCUUGGAUUGAAGUUUUGUUGUUUUGAUUUAAGGAUGGUUGAUUUCUCAUUUCCUUCUAUUCUUAUUGUUGAGCAUCAUACCCUUGUGAUAAUGUGAU
rnacentral:lncRNA from 1 species